GGGACACGUGGUAUCCUGUCUGAAUAUGGGGGGACCAUCCUCCAAGGCUAAAUACUCCUGACUGACCGAUAGUGAACCAGUACCGUGAGGGAAAGGCGAAAAGAACCCCGGCGAGGGGAGUGAAAAAGAACCUGAAACCGUGUACGUACAAGCAGUGGGAGCACGCUUAGGCGUGUGACUGCGUACCUUUUGUAUAAUGGGUCAGCGACUUAUAUUCUGUAGCAAGGUUAACCGAAUAGGGGAGCCGAAGGGAAACCGAGUCUUAACUGGGCGUUAAGUUGCAGGGUAUAGACCCGAAACCCGGUGAUCUAGCCAUGGGCAGGUUGAAGGUUGGGUAACACUAACUGGAGGACCGAACCGACUAAUGUUGAAAAAUUAGCGGAUGACUUGUGGCUGGGGGUGAAAGGCCAAUCAAACCGGGAGAUAGCUGGUUCUCCCCGAAAGCUAUUUAGGUAGCGCCUCGUGAAUUCAUCUCCGGGGGUAGAGCACUGUUUCGGCAAGGGGGUCAUCCCGACUUACCAACCCGAUGCAAACUGCGAAUACCGGAGAAUGUUAUCACGGGAGACACACGGCGGGUGCUAACGUCCGUCGUGAAGAGGGAAACAACCCAGACCGCCAGCUAAGGUCCCAAAGUCAUGGUUAAGUGGGAAACGAUGUGGGAAGGCCCAGACAGCCAGGAUGUUGGCUUAGAAGCAGCCAUCAUUUAAAGAAAGCGUAAUAGCUCACUGGUCGAGUCGGCCUGCGCGGAAGAUGUAACGGGGCUAAACCAUGCACCGAAGCUGCGGCAGCGACGCUUAUGCGUUGUUGGGUAGGGGAGCGUUCUGUAAGCCUGUGAAGGUGUGCUGUGAGGCAUGCUGGAGGUAUCAGAAGUGCGAAUGCUGACAUAAGUAACGAUAAAGCGGGUGAAAAGCCCGCUCGCCGGAAGACCAAGGGUUCCUGUCCAACGUUAAUCGGGGCAGGGUGAGUCGACCCCUAAGGCGAGGCCGAAAGGCGUAGUCGAUGGGAAACAGGUUAAUAUUCCUGUACUUGGUGUUACUGCGAAGGGGGGACGGAGAAGGCUAUGUUGGCCGGGCGACGGUUGUCCCGGUUUAAGCGUGUAGGCUGGUUUUCCAGGCAAAUCCGGAAAAUCAAGGCUGAGGCGUGAUGACGAGGCACUACGGUGCUGAAGCAACAAAUGCCCUGCUUCCAGGAAAAGCCUCUAAGCAUCAGGUAACAUCAAA
rnacentral:rRNA from 1 species